CUUGGAAUGAUUCGGUUUGAUCUUGAUUUCAUCACAAAUUUAAUUCAAUCUUCUUAAACAAGUGUUGGUUUAUAAAAUGACAUUCUUUUUAUAAUGAUCUGAAUAGAGUUUACAUGCAGAAAAGAGAUUAAUGGGUCAAAACGAGAAAGAACAGAGAAAACUUGAUUGUAAAAAAAAGACCAAGAAAAAGGCACAAAAAAAGAAAAAAA
rnacentral:lncRNA from 1 species